GAUGAACGCUGGCGGCGUGCUUAACACAUGCAAGUCGAGCGAGUGAGUUCUUCGGAACGAUCUAGCGGCGGACGGGUGAGUAACACGUGGGCAACCUGCCUCAUAGAGGGGAAAAGCCUCCCGAAAGGGAGAUUAAUACCGCAUAAAAUUAUCGAGUGGCAUCACAUGAUAAUCAAAGGAGUAAUCCGCUAUGAGAUGGGCCCGCGGCGCAUUAGCUAGUUGGUGAGGUAACGGCUCACCAAGGCGACGAUGCGUAGCCGACCUGAGAGGGUGAUCGGCCACAUGGGGACUGAUACACGGCCCAGACUCCGACGGGAGGCAGCAGUGGGGAAUAUUGCACAAUGGGGGAAACCCUGAUGCAGCAACGCCGCGUGAGUGAUGAAGGUCUUCGGAUUGUAAAGCUCUGUCUUUGGGGACGAUAAUGACGGUACCCAAGGAGGAAGCCACGGCUAACUACGUGCCAGCCGCCGCGGUAA
rnacentral:rRNA from 1 species